CCCCGCGCCACCUCCUCCCGCAGCGCCGAGAAGAACCCUUGCUUCUUCUCCAUCCCCCUCCCUAAACGCAGACCACAAAGCUAUGGGCUCGAACGUGAAUCCUAAAAGGAAGUCGAAAACAUGCACCGAUUCGCUUAGAAGGUUUCCAAACAGGGAUUCGCUUACAAGUUUUCCAAACACGGAGAGGGAAGCCAGAGGCGAGGCGGGAUUAUAAAUGCGAUUAUUCUUCUUCGAAGGAUAGAGGAGAGAGAAAAAAGGAAGACUGCGAGCGUGCGACAGUGUGAGAGCGAAGGCGAAAAG
rnacentral:lncRNA from 1 species